GGCCCAGUGGCGGAAGGUCCGCGUCUGCCAGAUUUUGUGGGCAACAGAAUCUCGCCGGAAAACGCUCGUUCGAAUCGAGCCUGGGCCG